CCUUUGACGUUAGCGGCGGACGGGUGAGUAACACGUGGGUAACCUACCUAUAAGACUGGGAUAACUUCGGGAAACCGGAGCUAAUACCGGAUAAUAUUUCGAACCGCAUGGUUCGAUAGUGAAAGGUGGUUUUGCUAUCACUUAUAGAUGGACCCGCGCCGUAUUAGCUAGUUGGUAAGGUAACGGCUUACCAAGGCACGAUACGUAGCCGACCUGAGAGGGUGAUCGGCCACACUGGAACUGAGACACGGUCCAGACUCCUACGGGAGGCAGCAGUC
rnacentral:rRNA from 1 species